CCGAACAUUUGGAAGUGGAUAGUGGCUAUUUAUAGAACAUUCAAAUCAAAAGAUGAAAAUGAUGGCUACAUAGACGACAAGACUGACAAAAGAAGACUAAUGCGCUGGGAGAACAUCAUGGUCAAAUCCUACCUGGAGUCGAUCAAAACAAAAGAUGAUGACAAUGUGCUCCGCAGAAAUGAUUUUGAACAAUUGUCGCAAACCUUUUCUGAAAUAAUUGACAAGAAGUUAAGCACGUUACAACGAGGAAACGGCAGAUACAAACACAAGAGGAGGUUUAAACAAACUUUAAAAACAAAGACAAAUUAAGCAAGUCAUCGCAUCUACAGACCUAUAGCUGAAGGCAAA